CAAAAUCACGCGAGAUAAAUCUACCUAAAUCAUCUUAAGUGUAAAUUAACGACUUAACUAAACUAGCAUUACUAAUUUCCUCAAUAGGAAAAAAGUAUGAGUAUCUUGUUUAUGACAUGAAGUUUACAAACUGUUAUAAAAAAUAUUGUAGAAAGUAUUCUUUAAAAUGGCAGAAAAAGAAGGGAAUAGCUUACGAAAAGAUAUUGUACGUAAAAUUAGCACGAGAAUGUGACAACGGUACGUUUUCCCUAUCAAUUAUUUGGCAAACGAUCAAGGCUAGUAACUCGAUGACAUACUCCCCACUCCGAUUGAUAAUUUCGUUCUACGAUCAGUGAAGAAAAUUGAUAAAAAACGAAACAGUCACCAAGAGAA